rnacentral:rRNA from 1 species
AAUUUUGGACAAUGGGGGAAACCCUGAUCCAGCCAUCCCGCGUGUAUGAUGAAGGCCUUCGGGUUGUAAAGUACUUUUGGCAGAGAAGAAAAGGUAUCUCCUAAUACGAGAUACUGCUGACGGUAUCUGCAGAAUAAGCACCGGCUAACUACGUGCCAGCAGCCGCGGUAAUACGAAGGGUGCAAGCGUUAAUCGGAAUUACUGGGCGUAAAGCGCGCGUAGGUGGUUUGGAAAGAAAGAAGUGAAAUCCCAGGGCUCAACCUUGGAACUGCUUUUAAAACUGGCGAGCUAGAGUAUGGCAGAGGGUGGUAGAAUUCCCCGUGUAGCGGUGAAAUGCGUAGAUAUGUGAAGGAAUAUCGAUGGCGAAGGCAGCUACCUGGAAUAAUACUGACGCUGAGGUGCGAAAGCGUGGGGAGCAAACAGG